GACGGAGGGGGCAAGCGUUGUUCGGAAUUAUUGGGCGUAAAGGGCUCGUAGGCGGAUCUAAAAGUCUGACGUGAAAUCUCCACCGCUCACCGGGGAGGGGCCGUUGGAUACUGUAGAUCUGGAGUUCGGUAGAGGGUCGUGGAAUUUCGGGUGUAGCGGUGGAAUGCGUAGAUAUCCGAAAGAACACCGGUGGCGAAGGCGGCGACCUGGGCCUGAACUGACGCUGAGGAGCGAAAGCUAGGGGAGCAAACGGG
rnacentral:rRNA from 1 species